CAGUAGCCGCGGUAAUACGUAGGGUGCAAGCGUUAAUCGCAAUUACUGGGCGUAAAGCGUGUGCAGGCGGUUUGUUAAGACAGAUGUGAAAUCCCCGGGCUCAACCUGGGAACUGCAUUUGUGACUGGCAAGCUAGAGUGUGGCAGAGGGGGGUGGAAUUCCGCGUGUAGCAGUGAAAUGCGUAGAUAUGCGGAGGAACACCGAUGGCGAAGGCAGCCCCCUGGGCCAACACUGACGCUCAUGCACGAAAGUGUGGGGAGCAAACAGGAUUAGAUACCCCUGUAGUCCCUGUCUCUUAUAC
rnacentral:rRNA from 1 species